UUAAAGUGGCACGUGAACUGGGUUCAGAACGUCGCAAGACAGUUCGGUCCCUAUCUGUGAUGGGCGUUAGAAAAUUGAGUGGACAUGACCUUAGUACGAGAGGACCGGGUCGUACGUACCGCUGGUGUAUCUGUUGUGCCGCCAGGUGCAGUGCAGAGUAGCUAUGUACGGACAGGAUAAACGCUGAAAGCAUCUAAGCGUGAAACCUUCCACAAGAUGAGUUUUCUUUUAAGGGUCGUCAGAGACUAUGACGUUGAUAGGCUACAGGUAUAAAACUGGUAACAGUAAAGCCGAGUAGUACUAAUUGCCCGUAUGCUUUAAUUUU
rnacentral:ncRNA from 1 species